ACUUUUUUUUCUAAAGUGCAAAUUAUGGUUUCUUUCUCAGAAAUUCACAAAGAAAAGGCUGAAAAGCAGGAAAAACCUGAAAAGAAAAUAGCACCUAAAGUAACUCACAAAGAAAAGCCAGAAAAAGAAAAGCCAGAAAAGAAAGCAAGUCACAAAGAUAAACCUGAGAAAAAAGAAAAACCAGAAAUGAAAACACUACUCAAAGGUAAUUGCUAGUGAUUCUUUUAUGAUUAUGUAUAUUU
rnacentral:lncRNA from 1 species